UUGCCUGAAACUUGGCCGAUUGGGUUAAGUUUAGGCAUAAAAAGUCUGGAAAUUAAAAAAUUUAAACAAUUUCCUUGAAAUUUGGCCGAUUGGGAUAUAGUUUACGCAUAAAAUGUCUGGAAAAUAAUACUCUUAGCAUUUCUUUCUUCAAGUGUCUAAUUUAAGCUGUCUAAGAUUUUUGAUAAUUUGUGAAUUGCAUUAGAGAGAAGCGAUAAAGUUACAUUCGAAAAGAUAAACAAGAAGUAUUCCCUCCAAGUUGAUUCUUUAUGUUUUUUGCAUUCAUUAAUUAAUCAAGUUCAUCUUAAAUAUUUGCGUUUAAGCCUACUUAAACAAAACUGCAAAAUCGGAUAAAUUAGUACCUAUUCUGAAAAGCAGUUUGCUAAUUGAUUGUGUAUUUUUCUGUCAUACACCUUCAGUCGUUCUGCAUAAAAAAUCGUACACAUGAAUAGGAAGGAACCUUGACGUGGUUCAUGUGCUUUAAACAAAUACCUUCCAGACAGAUACAUUCUCACCCGUUGUACUUUAAGAGAUAAAUGGUCAGAAAUUUGAUUUCUUUAGAUUUUUUUUUUUGUCUGAAUUUAUUUAUUACUCAAUAAAUCAAAUUUUUUUAAAUGUAUUAAUAAAAUCAUAGUUAAUCUACUAUUUGUUUUCAAUGGUUUGUAUUCUUCGAAUUGGCUAAUAAAAAUUAGCAAAUCAAUAAAAAGGGCUGGUGCUAGUUGCCGAUACAGAUUGUGAUAUAUUUGGCUGAUUAAGCUGAUGCAGAUUAAUCUGAACAUCACCAAGAAUAUUCAGAUUAAUUUUGAAUUUCCAAAUUCCUUUUUUUAUUUUAGGUUGACAUCGAGUACAUAAACCAUAUUAAGAUUAGCUAGUAUAGGUAUAAUUUUUUAUUAAAUUUUGCAUAUGUUUCAUGUAAAAGAUAAUGACCAGAAUCAAGUUUAUAUUUAUAAAAAAAAAUCCAAAAACAAUAAAAAAAACAAUAGUUUGGGAGGGAGCGAUUUUAAGUUAAUUUUUGCUUGAAUUUUAGACUUAUAUUGUCUUAACCAGUUUAGCAUUAAAUUUUUUUUUUGUUUUUGAAAAUGCGUUCUUAUUUUUAUAAAAGGCUGCAAACACCGAGUCUUAAUCACAAAAAAAAAUUCCAAAUAGUGCAAAUAGGGUGAAUACAUAGGGGGAGCCCCCCUGGUGUCAAAUAAAAACCUUUUGAAAAUAUAAAUCCGAGUUAGUAUAGAGUUGACAAAUAGUAAAUGGGGAAGGGAGGCUUAUUUGGUAUUAGAGAGUACCACUGUCUGGGAUGGAUUGUGUUAUAUCAAUCGUGGCUCAGUAGUUAGAGCAUUGGAUUCGUAAUCUAAGGGUUGCGAGUUCGAUCUCUACUCGAAGCACAUAAAGGUUAUCGGUAUAGUUGGAAACGGAGAGCCAAGUUACAAAUGUUAUUGUCUUUGUGGCGGUGCUCUGUGACAAGGCCAUUAGGACUUCUUAGAGCACCUUAAUAACAACAA